rnacentral:tRNA from 1 species
GCCAGUGUGGUACAGUGGUUAGAGCAUUGGACUACGACUCUGGGACACCAGGGUUUGAAUCCCUGCUCAAGCA